UUAGGGUUUGAUGAUCUGAAAUUGAAGGUUUUGAUUUGAUACCUUAUCGCCCAAAUCCACUCCCCAAAGCUCUGCAACGUCGUCAACAACGACCAAAUCGGAAUCCAAAUAUAUGACUCUCUUAACCUCCACCGGCAGAAUCUCCGCCAAGUAAAUUCUCGCGUAGUUCAAUGGCUGAUCCAAAGCUUGUCGAAUGGAUUUCGAAAUUUUCCCCCGAACCCUACCGGAAUCGAAUCGAUAAACCUUAAAAUUGAGGAAUCGCCAUUCCGAAACGCCGGAGCUUCGCGGAAGAUAGGGACGUCGGAGGAAGGCUUGCGGAUGAUCCCUAGGCGGAUUCCGGCGGUGGCGGUGGCGGUGGCUGGGAGUAGGAUGAGGAGGAAAGACAGGAGGAGGCCGAGGAGAGAGAUGGAGAAAUGGAGAUGGUUGUUGUGGAAGGCCAUUCCUGCCCUGUAAAUUGGAGUGUUGGAAAUUGGAACAAUGGAGAAAGAGGAGAUGAUUGAUCAAAGAAGUGAGAGAAACAGAGUGAUGGCAGCCAUUGUUAGGCUGGUUUGGGAGAAGGAUUGGGAAGGAAGAAUUAGGAACGAUUGAUGAUAAGGGAUAAAAGUUGAGGAGGAACAAGGUUGGUGGGAUUCUGAGGAAGGGAAAAUUCUUAGGAGCACAAUGCCUAUUUCUGGGCAUGCUCAUGGUGGGUUGGGAUUAUCAUUACUCCUUUCUCUCAUGGAGCUACAUCCAUUUUCUUUUUCCUUUUUCAGCUUCCAUUUCCUUUCCACAUUUCUUGGAGUUAGAACCAGGGGAUCUAGCCAAUUUUUAGAUUCUUUUGUUCCUCAAAAACACUCGACUACUUCAUCUUUCUCUACCCAUCCUUUUCUUCUUCUAAUUUUUGACAAACAUAAAUGAAGAUAUUCGGGAGGGGAUAUUGUUUGAUCCAUGGGGUCCCUUUUUACUUAGUAAAGUUUGGUUUUAGAUGAUGCAUAGUCUUGCUGAUUGUUUGUACUGGGAUUUCAAAGCAAGAAAAACACUUUUAGAUGAUUUGUUUGAUC